GGGGAGAUUCAUCUUCGUCGUCGCACCCAGCUGCUGCUACUGCCAGUGCCACGUGCCUUGCAAGGAUUUCCUAGGAUCCUCCUGGAAGCCUCAAAGAAUGGGUCAGAUUUUUUGGAUUCUAAGCAUCAUGACACUCUAUAAAAGAGAGCCUGGAGCGAACUUGAAAUUAAGCCACACAGGCAGCCAUUUACUUGGUUAAUGAACAUUGCUAUUUCAUUGGUUUUAAGCUUAUCAGAAAAAUAAUCGAGUUGAGAGUAAUUGGGUUUACAUCAUGGAUUGAACUUUGGAAACUUCACUGACCACUUAAUUUAAACG
rnacentral:lncRNA from 1 species